UAGUCACACCUCUGUGGUCCCUCAAGUC
rnacentral:piRNA from 1 species